GAUUGAUUUCCACCAUCAACACCUUUACCUCUUCCCGCCUGAAAAUAAAAUAUGAAAUAUAACAAGUAAAUCGCAAUCUACCUUGCACAGAAUCUUCUGGAGAGGAAAGAAGAAACCAUGUCUAGACAAGGUGCUGGAAAGACCCAGGGAAGACACAGAUAUGUGUGCCUUUAUUAGCGGAGCCACUACUUGAGGGAGAUGAAGCGGGAGGAGUGGGUGGACCCAAUGCCAGGCCGGCCGUGCUUCACGGGCUUGUAGGUGAUGGAGAACUCGCCCAGGUCGUGGCCGAUCAUCUCCAGCUUGAUCUCCACCUGGUUGAAGGUCUUGCCGUUGUAGACGCCCACCCUGCUGCCCACCAUCUUGGGAGGGAUGAUCAUAUCCCGCAGGUGCGUCUUCACCACUUCCUGCUUCUCUAUGGUCGGCGCCUCCUUCUUGGCCUAGCAUAGGCGCCUCAGCAGCGAAUGCGGCUUGAGCCUCAGCAUUCCGCCACAGGCCGUGGUUCAGCCGCCGCAGCUGGCGCGCGCCGUACAGCUGCCUCAGCUGCUCAAAGGACAUGUCCAGCAGCUGGCCCAGGUCCACACCGCGGUAGGUGAACUUGCGGAAGAUCCGCUGCUUCUUCUCCUCUACCUCUGCCAUCUUGCCGGAUCCUCUGAAAAUGAUUCCGGAAAUCAUCUUUCGGGAAUUUAUCUAAGAAGAACUUCUUAUGAGCAAAUAUCCUAAAAUUCAGAUUGUUAAAAUGACGUGAAGAAAAAAUGAACAGGAAACUGAUGCAGAGGCCACAAAGAAUAUUCAAACACAAAUUUUCCAUUUUCAAAAAAUGACACUGCUCCAGGACCCUGUGGAUAUGAGGCUGGAUAAUUGAUUCUCUACUUCCAACUUACUCAUGUGCAUUUGAUACCUCUAACAAAAGGAGUAAAUUUUUCACAAUUCAAUAUGACCUACUUUUAAUUAUUUAGGUGUUUAUUAACAGUUUUGAAUCAACGUUUGUCAUGUAAAUAUAUAAUCAGAAACAUCAAGUCUGACAGGGCAAAG
rnacentral:lncRNA from 1 species